GCCUUGGCACCACUCGGCUUGUUCGCCCUUCGUUGUUUUUCCACCUUCUUUCUUCAGACAGUGGAAGAAGAACAGUGAGUACGAAGAUGGGGAAUGAAUGAAUAUGACGGGUGCCAGUAUUUAUCAAGAUUUUAUGGCGGCUGCCAUGAGUGAGUUGUUACUAAGGUGGCGUCACACGGCCCAGACGCUAAAGACCCCGAUGAGGAAAGAGGCAGUUGGUUGUCCUCUCUGCCAAAAUCGCUAUUGACGCCGACGACGCUAUCUGGGUAACGCCCAAAGGCACUUUCCCUUUACGUCCCGCGAUAAAUACAGACCACCUCCAGCAGGCAGCAGCCACCUGGUGAGGCAAGUGAGUGAGAGGUCCUUGGCUGCGGGUAUUCUUAGCUGACACUUGAGGGACCGAAUGACACUUUUUCGAGCAGUGACACUCAAAGAAUAGUGAGUGACACUUGAGGGUUGAGUGCGAGGCUUCCCUGGUGAGGGCUGGAGAGGAGGCGAGGAGGGUUGCUCACUGGAAACCCUAAGCUCCCCUUGUGUGUCUGUGG